AUGAGGUCGAAGUCUCAAUUUUAAGGUUUAUCCACUGCUCCACCCUUCACACUGCUUUACGGUAAAAAUAAUAUUUAAACCGACAACAUUGUGAUACAGUAAUAAAUAUUUUAGAACACCAUCACCAGAAACUAGAUGGCGAUGAUGUCGCCAACCUCGAAUCCUUUCCAUUAGUCGACAGUAUGAUUUGCCUUUUUGUGUUCUGAUAGAUCCUAAAAUAUCGUUAAUGACUUAUAAUAAUGAAUCUAUCGUACAAACAAUGCUUUAGUACAUAAAGAUAUCUGCAGUUUUUAGGAAAAGUCCAAUAUUUCCAGAAAUCAUAUCAACGAAGCUAACUAACGAAUUUAAAACAAUAUAUUUCAUUUCAAUCUAUGGGCCGGUAACCACUUAACAUCAAGUGGGCCGUGAGCUCAUCCACUCACUUGUAAUAAAAAAAUUGAGGUACUCAUAACUAGAUGGCAUUAGUUUAUCAGAACAAAUAAUACAAUAAUAGGUGUAUUUUUUAUGAUCAUAUUACGUAUUCAAAAUGGCUUACUAUACAUAGCUGAAUUGUUAUGUAGAAACUAAAUUAAAAAUAAAAACCUUCUCGUAUUAAUAUACCUAAUGAGUAAUAUGUAUAGAAUCAGCUAUUAACAACAAAUCAUUAUUUAAUGUGGCUUUAUAAUAUGUUGCCACAAUUUUACUGAGAUAUUAUUUCAGCGCCCUGAUUUGUAUUCGUUUCAUUCCAUUUGUUUUCAUUCAUUUUAUACCUAUUGAUUUAAAUUUAAAUUAAUGAACUGUUUUUCCCGCUCCCUUUCAUUUUUCAAAUGAGAAAGUAGAUCGUUGAAUACUAUAUAAGCUCGACGCGGGAAAUAGUGGCAUCGCAAGAAGCCGAUAGCUAUAUUGACUCUCCUGAUUAGACUCAUGCAGUAGCCAGUCAUGUUCGACACCUUACAAACGUUUUAACGGAACUUGAUCUGAAACUAAUCUAGUCUUAGUGCUUCUGCAAACUACUGGUAACAGCAUCCAAAGAACAGAUCAGAAGAACAAAUCCCACCCCUUCAGGCUGAGCCCGUGCUCGCCCACCUUUCCUGUUGAAGAUGAAAAUGUCUUUGAGACAGCAAAAAACACCUUUAUCCAAAAGUCAUUAUGAAAAAAAAGAAUUGAUGUUAAAAACAAUCAUUGACGAUUUUGAAAAUUAGUUAUCAUACACACUGUAGAUAGGUUUUAUAGGUAUUUCAUUGUUCGUAGUCAUGAUUUUAAUUUAAAGACUGAACAAAACUAUCCGUUUGGCUAGUAUUUGAUAGUUCGUGCCUCAAUAACAGUGGAACCAGUGGCAGCAUUAUUAAAGAUUAAUACUAAAUUAAAUUUAUAUUUGACACUGGACACUGAAUUCUGAUCGCCAUAGUCCAAAAAGAAGAAAAACAUCUCAAGAUAAUUGUCGAGUAAAGUGCAACUUAAAAGUUUCUCAAAUAAAAAUUAUAUCUGUCUAUUGCCAAACUAAAAAAAAAGGAUUUUUAGACACAUUUAUUGUCCUCUCAUAUUGCUAUCACGUUUAACCUAAUUAGAACCAUUCUUAUUUUCUUAUUUGUUAUAAUAUAUGCUAGUCACCGUUUUAGAGAAUGUAUAUUAGGAAUUUACGUAUUGUAAUUACACAGUUGGUUAGUGGAAAGGUGUGACGGCAGAACGGUUGAUUAACACGAUUAUGUAACACCGCACAGUCGCACAAGGCACCAAGUUCCGGUAACAGCCGGAUGCUCCCUUCACUUUCGAAGAUUGAAACGAUAUUUAGACUAUUUCGGCUCAGCCUGAAUGAACCAAGUAUUGCUUAGACAAAAAUAUUUAGUCAAUUAAUAGAACAACACAGCAAUGAAAAUGGCAUUUUUAGUCCGUUAAAUAACAUUUUAUAAUUCAUUAUUUUCCUGCGCCUUAACUCAUCGAUGUCCUGGAGCUCGGUCUACACAACAAGAAAUACAAACUAAAAUGUAAUAUUUAAUGCCUUUGCAAAUUCCUUAAUACUUAUGUAAUCCAAGAAUUCUAGUGAUAAAUACAUUAUUAUUUUGUCAACUAUCAAUUUUAUACGAUAUGAUACCACGAGCGCAUUUAUCUAUAGGCCAUUUAAAUAUGAUAAUGGGCUUUGGAGGCAGUUCCGUGAGUCACCUCGAGCGUGACGUCACCAGCAUACUCAUAAAUUCGGGUGUCGGCGUCCGCAUACCGUCGGCGGCCGCGCGGCUGUUAUAUAAAAGAAAGUGGCGCGGUCGCGAGGCGACCUUGCUCGGUGAAAGGCGUGGUGCAAGUGGCACAGCCGGAACUCACUCUUCCCACGGAUCAAGAUCCCGCGCCUCUCGCCCGCCGCCAUGCCGUUAUGCGCCCGCGCAACUUUCGGUAACCGGUUGAGAAUUAGCGAAAAAUGCAACUGUCGCACUUGGACCGGUGCCAGCAAACAAUAUUUAGAACGCGGACAUAAAACAUGGUGUGCGGCAGCGGAACACAGACAACGUCGCGAGGCGCGUGCUGCGGCCGCGAACCCGGAUGCGCCUGACGUAACGCAGCCUUCGCCUCCUCCCUCGCCCCCGCGCUGUCUGCAGCCCCCUCCCGAUCCUACGCUUGUCUGGCUCACUGUCUAUACCGGCCUAUACACUGUUCUUAAAUUUCUCAGUUAUUAUAUAUCUGAGAUUAAUAAGAUUGAGCGAAAUGAGAAUUCUUCAUUUAAAAGCAACUAUCCUAUGGGCUGUAAGAUUAUCUAUCUCUCGAUAGUAUAAGUACCAAAUAAAAUUUCGUUUUAAAAA